rnacentral:lncRNA from 1 species
AUGUGGUACUUAUACACAAUGGAGUACUACUCUGCCAUAAAAAAGAUAAACUUGAGGCAUUUGUAGGUAAAUGGAUUCAACUUGAGAACAUAAUGUUAAGUGAAAUAAUUCUGGCACACAAGAUUAAGUAUCACACAGUUUCUCUUUUUUUUUUUUACCAGGGAUUGAACUCGGGACCUUGCGCUUGCGAGGCAGGCGGCGGAACCACUGAGCUAAAUCCCUGGCCCAAAUGUAGCUGGUACUUAAAAAAAAAAAAAAGUUACAGUGUUGCAGGGACCUGAGUUCGAUCCCCAGUACCAAAAAAAAAAGUUAUAGUGUUUAUAUAGUUUUCAUAUUUUGUUUCUUUUUGGUGCUAAGGAUUUAACCUAGGGCUGCAUAUAUGCUAAGCACAUGCUCUACCACUGAGCUACGUCCUGAGGCCCUGUUUUUAUGUUUUUAAAACAGAUGCCUUCUAGCCAAGCAUAGUGGUGCAAGCCUAUAAUCCCAGCACUUGGGAGGCUGAAGCAGGAGGAUUGCUGUGAAUUCAAAGCCAGCCUGAAUUAUACAGUGAGAUGCUGUCUCAAAAACAAAACUAAACCCCAGACACCUUCUAAAAUCAAGCAUGGUGGAUGUUACAUACACUUGUCCCAGGAUGGGGGACAGGUGAAUUUGCUUACAGUGAGUAGAAGUAUGAAAAAAUAAAAAAUAAAAAACCUGGCAUAAAGCUCUUCAAUAAUGUUACAUUUCCAGCCUUUGGAUCAGUCUUGGUUAUUGCAAGACUUCUGACUUCCUUAAUUUUUACAGUAGGAAAUCCUAUAUACUAAGAAAAACAAAAAGAAAGCCAGAAGACUGAAAUUCUCUUAAAAUCUAAUCAGAUAACAUCACACGUAUUUUGUAAGCAGCUUCAUUGAGGGAAAGCCUAUUUUCAGAGGAACCUACAAAGGUGAAGAUCAUGAUGUAAUAGCCUUGGGGAUAACCUAGAAUGAUUCUCAUGUCCUGAGAUUCUCCUCCCACGCCCAAUGGGAGACGAACUGAUCACCCAAGUGAGCGUGCGAACUUCUGAGGCCAGAUAAUAAAGGCCAUGCUCUUCGCAAUCUCUUGCUCUGCGGGAAGCCAGCUGCAUGGGUACAGGGACCCCAGAAGUCAGACCUAUGUGCAGAGGGCUCGUGGAAGCCUGCCAAGCACUGGCAGCCGAGGGAACCCCUCAGAGCCCUUGUGAGCCCUGAGAAGCGUCAGUGACCAGUCACAGCCAACUGAAGAUUGUGAGAAAAUCCAGCUGGCAUUAUCCAAAGAAGCUGAGCUGUAACACAUGUUUAUUAUUGUGGAGCCACAAAGGUUUGUGGUCAUUUCUUUUACAGCAUAGAUACCUGAUGUACAUGCUACUUUUUCUUUUUCCUAUUGGUGCUGGAAUUGAAUACAGGGCUUCAUGCAUACUAAGCACGUGCUCGACCACUGAGCUACACUCCCAGCCCCUACAUGC